UCAAGAGCAUCAUGAACAAGGAUAAGAUCCUCAUUCCCCUUUCCAUACUCACUGACUGUAUCAAAACCCACAAUUCCAAGGUCCAAAUCUCCAGAUAACAACUUCCGUACAAUGUCUUUGGGUCGCUGAAACCAGACUUCCAAAUUGGAGAGCUGAGGAAUUUCUGCAACAUAUUGUCGUGGAUUGACCUGCUUGACGGACA
rnacentral:misc_RNA from 1 species